rnacentral:lncRNA from 1 species
AGUGGCAGCAGCGGCCGUGGAGGCUGCGGGGGUCCCGGCCUCUGCGGUCUCUCUGGCCGGCCGCAGCUGUGGCGCGGGUGAAACGCCCGCCCUCCUCCUUCGGCUGCGUCUCCCGGGCGCCGGCGAGCGCGGGCGUUCCUCGCACUCAGCGCCUGGAGCCGCCUGGAGCCCCGCUGCGCGCACUUCCCCGGCUCGCGGAGCCCCUCCGGCGGCGUUUCCCACGCCGCGGACUGCAGGUGAUGCUCUUCCUCUUCUGCAGCCGAAAUUCGUCGCGAUGUGUCGCCUGCCAGAUUUUUGCUGGGCGGAAGCAUGAACAGUCUCUGCAGACUGGCCUGGACGACUUGUACUUUGUGGCCCUCCAACUUCUGGAUGUGAAUUUUUUUUCACGACUUAUUAUUAUGCUCUUCGUGGUCUUUGUGUUGAAAAUCACGGAGCUGUAUUUUUAUUUUCAAAUUCUUUCCCAAUGCUCCUCUUGUCUUGACCGUACUCUGAAGCUUAUAAGGUUCUGAGAGGAGGGGGCGAAGGGAUAGGGGAGGAGCCAGUUCCUAAUGUGUCUUACAAGUCAUCCCUAGUGAUAGGGGCUAAUACGCAAAUCACUGUCUCCUCCUCGAAAUAAUAUCCAUUUAGAUAAAUGCAAACACUGUUGAGGUUUAAUUUAUAAAGAAUGCGUCGUCUUUAUGUAAGUGUCCAGCCUCCAGGAAAAUAUCUGCUGUGGAAUAUAUUUUUAAUGCCACUAAAGUACCAAAAUACCUCCCCGAACAGCGUGAAAUUCCGAGGGAGCCAUUUCUGUGAGUUGACAUUGUCCCCAGAAGAUUGUCAUUAACAUUCAAGAUCCUUGCAAAAGGGGGCUGGGGGCGGUUCUAUCAUAUUUGCAUCCGUUGGUAUAAAUAUGUUGAUCAGUUUAGCUGGUCGUUCUUUUACAAAGGUCAAGAGCAAAAUUCUGAGCACAGAGGAAACUGGGCAGGGAGCUAAACAGUAAGGAGAGAACAAGAUUAGGUGAUUGGAAUGUUGUGUGUGUUUAGCCUUGAAGUCAUAACUUGUCUAAAUGUCAGUGUCCUCAUCUGUGAUAUGGGACUAAUAUCUGCUUCAUGUGGUAAAAAUGUAUUCAUGUGUUUAUCCAUUCAAAAAAAAAACAUACUGCACUCUACUUGCCAGGGAG